UACAGAGAGUGCGAACGUUGUUCGGAAUCACUGGGCUUGAAGCGCACGUAGGCGGCAUCGUAAGUGUCGGGUGAAAUCCCACGGCUCACCCGUGGAACUGCCCGGCAGACUGCGAUGCUCGAGUGUGGUAGGGGAGAACGGAACUCCUGGUGGAGCGGUGAAAUGCGUAGAUAUCAAGUGGAACACCAGUGGCGAAGGCGAGUCUCUGGACAUUUCCUGACGCUGAGGCACGAAAGCCAGGGGAGCAAAC
rnacentral:rRNA from 1 species